GGUCAAGCUACUAAGGGCCCACGGGGGAUGCCUUGGCGUCAAGGGCCGAUGAAGGGCGUAGCACGACUGCGAUAAGCUUCGGUCAGCCGUCUAGCAGGCUUAACCGGAGAUACCCGAAUCGGGGAACCGGCGGCGGAGAAACCGUCGCGCCCCACGCUGAACACAUUAGGCAUGGGGAGGUAAGCGGGGGAACUGAAACAUCUCACUACCCCGAGGAAAAGAAAGCAACCGCGAUUCCCCUAGUAGCGGUGAGCGAACGGGGAACAGCCCAAACCUGUGGGGCUUAACGGACUGGGGUCCUAUGCCUCGCGGGGGUUGUACGGCGCACCGGCGGAAGCCCCAGCAACUGCACGGAGUGAGCAAUCCUGGCUUUAGCCGAAGGCUCCUGGAAGGGACCGCCAUAGGGGGUGAUAGCCCCGUAGGCGAAAGGGCCGGGACUUCGGGUGCGUUCGUGAGUACCGCGGGACACGUGGAAUCCUGUGGGAACCAGGGGGGACCACCCUCCAAGGCUAAAUACCCUUGACGACCGAUAGUGCACAAGUACCGUGAGGGAAAGGUGAAAAGAACCCCUGUAGGGGAGUGAAAUAGACCUGAAACCGUGGGCCUACAAGCGAUCGGAGCCCUGGGCGACCGGGGUGACGGUGUGCCUAUUGAAGAAUGAGCCGGCGAGUUGCGUCUGUGCGGCAAGGUUAAGGGAUAGAGACGUCCUGGAGCCGAAGCGAAAGCGAGUCUGAAUAGGGCGUAGAGUCGCAUGGAGCAGACCCGAAACCGGGUGAGCUACCCAUGGCCAGGGUGAAGCCUGGAUAAUCUCCAGGUGGAGGCCCGAACCGGUGAAUGUUGCAAAAUUCUCGGAUGAGCUGUGGGUAGAGGAGAAAUGCCAAUCGAACCCGGAGAUAGC
rnacentral:rRNA from 1 species